CAGCAAAGAAGACAAACCGUGAAAUGGAGUCAACGACGACGCGAGGAACGAGCAGGAGAGAAGACGGAUGGCAAGGUGAACGGGAGCGUGGACUCGACAUUUGAACAUGAACAUGACGACAUCGGAAGUAAUCUGAAGGUGACGCUGAUGAACUGACAGCAAUGUGUGAGCUGAAGAACACGCGCUCGAGAUCGCCAGUCUUCUCGAAUACAGAAUUAUAUACGUAUACGUAAAUAAACAUAUAGAUUAGUACAACCUGUAAACAGACAAAGAACAUACAUAGUCACAACGACACCAAACGUCACAGCAAUCAUCGCACUUACGUGCAACGACGUUAUUUUUCGUCGAAUUGACACUCGCACAAGUGGAUUUGCGGCAUCUUUGCCGUUGAUCAUUUUGACGGCUUGGAAAGCUUCAUCGGUGUUUUUUCGUUGAUGGACUGUCCGGAUGAAGAAACGAGGGAGCUCCUGUCGUCUGGAAAUGAGGCGACCGACUGCUGACUGGACACCCAUUGUGGUUUCGUAAAUUGGACACAGAAAUUGCUAGACUCACUUGCCUACAACAGUUAAAUAAUAGUUUAUAAUCAUGAUAACUAUAUAUUGAGUAUGUAUAUUCAAUGUUCCAUGCAACAUACCGAGAGCUGUCGUCGUAACCUGCGGAUUUGGUGAUAACAUUUCAGUACCGACUUUGGAAAGCUAUUGUGACAGUUCUCUCUCUUCUUUGAGAACGACAUCGAUGCCGCCGCUGAGUGCAUGGUGCCAUCAGUAUCUGGAUGUGAAGCAGUCAGUCGACGUCGCGUCUAUUGGGCCAAGAUGGAUGAAUACGAUACUUGAAUUUGGCGAGUACGCACUGACCACUUGAAGACGAGGAGAGUCUCGAAACGUGAAGACAACGACUACUUUAGUAGAGUGGACGAGCUCGUCGAUGAGAUGUAGAGUAUGAGAAUAUUGCACGUAGAGUUGAAAUAAUAUGUGAAACAGUGAA